AUUGAACGCUGGCGGCAGGCCUAACACAUGCAAGUCGGGCGAGCGGCAGACGGGUGAGUCAUGUAUUGGGAUCUGCCUGAUGGCGGGGGAUAACUACUGGAAACGGUCGCUAAUACCGCAUACCAUCAGAUGAACCCAUAUUGAAUUAGCUUGUAGGUGAGGUAACGGCUCACCUAGGCGACGAUCCCUAGCUGGUCUGAGAGGAUGAUCAGCCAAACUGGGACUGAGACACGGCCCAGACUCCUACGGGAGGCAGCAGUGGGGAAUAUUGCACAACGGGCGCAAGCCUGAUGGAGCCAUGCCGCGUGUAUGAAGAAGUCCUUCGGGUUGUAAAGUACUUUCAGUCGGGAGGCGUUACCGACAGAAGAAGCACCGGCUAACUCCGUGCCAGCAGCCGCGGUAAUUC
rnacentral:rRNA from 1 species